rnacentral:rRNA from 1 species
UACGAGAGCCCCAAGCGUUAUCCGGAAUUAUUGGGCGUAAAGGGUGCGUAGGUGGUUUUAUUAGUCAGAGGUCAAAGACCGGUGCUUAACAUCGGGAAGGCCUUUGAAACGGUAGAACUUGAGAGUGAGAGAGGUAUAUGGAACUCUUGGUGUAGGGGUGAAAUCCGUUGAUAUCAAGGGGAACACCAAAGGCGAAGGCAAUAUACUGGCUCAUUUCUGACACUGAUGCACGAAACCCUGGGUAGCGAAU